rnacentral:lncRNA from 1 species
AUUUCUAUUCACAUGCUCCAACUGAAUGAUUUCAGUGAGGAUACUGUAUAAACAAGAUGUGCAUCUUAUAUAUUUACUCUUGCAAAAUUCUAAUGAUAUACAUUAGUGUUAUUUUUUUACAACAAUAAUAAAUGAUCUCUGCAAAAAAAAGGUAAACCACUACAAAGACAUUGUUAGAUUACUAUGGAAGUAUCAAGACGACUCAAAAAUGCCAAUUCACAGUUGGUACUGGUAUCAGUCCAAUCCGAGGGAAGAAAUAAAUUGGAGAAACUUCUCUGUUCUGUACGGAGAAUCACAAACCAGAAAAUAAUGCAUCCCCUUCUUAUAAAAUGACCUGUACUUGCAUACCUGCACCAAUAGAUGAUGAACACAUGUGAAGUCACUUUUAGAACCGCAUAAAUGGCUAAAGGCAACAAAAAUGAAUUAAAUUAAGUGGAUCUACCGCAGAUUCAUUUACCAUAGGGGCUCAUCUCCGCACCAAAAAAGAGGCAGAUGUUCCGUUUUCUGCAUCUACAACCAGUAGCAACAAAAGGUGAGAUGCAUGUUGCACAGAGUAGUAAUGCAUCAGGCUUCAUGAGGCUUCCGUUUUCUGCAU